CCGAAACCAGGUGAUCUACCCAUGUCCAGGAUGAAGGUAAGGUAAUACUUACUGGAGGUCCGAACCCACGCACGUUGAAAAGUGCGGGGAUGAGGUGUGGGUAGCGGAGAAAUUCCAAUCGAACUUGGAGAUAGCUGGUUCUCUCCGAAAUAGCUUUAGGGCUAGCCUCGAGGUAAAGAGUCAUGGAGGUAGAGCACUGUUUGGACUAGGGGCCCUUCUCGGGUUACCGAAUUCAGAUAAACUCCGAAUGCCAUGUACUUAUACUCGGGAGUCAGACUGCGAGUGAUAAGAUCCGUAGUCGAAAGGGAAACAGCCCAGACCACCAGUUAAGGUCCCCAAAUAUAUGUUAAGUGGAAAAGGAUGUGGGGUUGCUUAGACAACCAGGAUGUUGGCUUAGAAGCAGCCACCAUUGAAAGAGUGCGUAAUAGCUCACUGGUCGAGUGACCCCGCGCCGAAAAUGUACCGGGGCUAAACAUAUUACCGAAACUGUGGAUGAACCUCUUUAGAGGUUCGUGGUAGGAGAGCGUUCUAAGGGCGGUGAAGUCAGACCGGAAGGACUGGUGGAGCGCUUAGAAGUGAGAAUGCCGGUAUGAGUAGCGAAAGAAGGGUGAGAAUCCCUUCCACCGAAUAUCUAAGGUUUCCUGAGGAAGGCUCGUCCGCUCAGGGUUAGUCGGGACCUAAGCCGAGGCCGAUAGGCGUAGGCGAUGGACAACAGGUAGAGAUUCCUGUACCAGUGCUAAUUGUUUAACCGAUGGGGUGACACAGAAGGAUAGGGAAUCGCACGAAUGGAAAUGUGCGUCCAAGCAGUGAGUGUGAGAAGUAGGCAAAUCCGCUUCUCGCGAAGCAUGAGCUGUGAUGGGGAAGGAAAUUAAGUACGGAAGUUCCUGAUUUCACGCUGUCAAGAAAAGCCUCUAGGAAGAGUAGUACUGCCCGUACCGCAAACCGACACAGGUAGAUGAGGAGAGAAUCCUAAGGUGAGCGAGAGAACUCUCGUUAAGGAACUCGGCAAAAUGACCCCGUAACUUCGGGAGAAGGGGUGCUCUAUUAGGGUGCAAGCCCGAGAGAGCCGCAGUGAAUAGGCCCAGGCGACUGUUUAGCAAAAACACAGGUCUCUGCAAAACCGUAAGGUGACGUAUAGGGGCUGACGCCUGCCCGGUGCUGGAAGGUUAAGAGGAGUGCUUAGCUUCGGCGAAGGUACGAAUUGAAGCCCCAGUAAACGGCGGCCGUAACUAUAACGGUCCUAAGGUAGCGAAAUUCCUUGUCGGGUAAGUUCCGACCCGCACGAAAGGCGCAACGAUCUGGGCACUGUCUCAACGAGAGACUCGGUGAAAUUAUAGUACCUGUGAAGAUGCAGGUUACCCGCGACAGGACGGAAAGACCCCGUGGAGCUUUACUGCAACCUGAUAUGGAAUGUUUGUACCGCUUGUACAGGAUAGGUAGGAGCCGAAGAGACGUGUGCGCUAGCAUACGAGGAGGCAAUGGUGGGAUACUACCCUGGCUGUAUGACCAUUCUAACCCGCCACGCUUAGCGCGUGGGGAGACAGUGUCAGGUGGGCAGUUUGACUGGGGCGGUCGCCUCCUAAAGAGUAACGGAGGCGCCCAAAGGUUCCCUCAGAAUGGAUGGAAAUCAUUCGCAGAGUGUAAAGGCACAAGGGAGCUUGACUGCGAGACUGACAAGUCGAGCAGGGACGAAAGUCGGGCUUAGUGAUCCGGUGGUUCCGCAUGGAAGGGCCAUCGCUCAACGGAUAAAAGCUACCCCGGGGAUAACAGGCUUAUCUCCCCCAAGAGUCCACAUCGACGGGGAGGUUUGGCACCUCGAUGUCGGCUCGUCGCAUCCUGGGGCUGUAGUCGGUCCCAAGGGUUGGGCUGUUCGCCCAUUAAAGCGGCACGCGAGCUGGGUUCAGAACGUCGUGAGACAGUUCGGUCCCUAUCCGUCGCGGGCGCAGGAAAUUUGAGAGGAGCUGUCCUUAGUACGAGAGGACCGGGAUGGACACACCGCUGGUGUACCAGUUGUUCCGCCAGGAGCAUCGCUGGGUAGCUAUGUGUGGCAGGGAUAAACGCUGAAAGCAUCUAAGCGUGAAGCCCCCCUCAAGAUGAGAUUUCCCAUUUCUUCGGAAAGUAAGAUCCCUGAAAGAUGAUCAGGUAGAUAGGUUUGGAGUGGAAGUGUAGCGAUACAUGGAGCGGACAAAUACUAAUCGAUCGAGGACUUAACCAA
rnacentral:rRNA from 1 species